GCCACGGUGGUCUAGCGGUUAGAACUCUGGCUUUGUAAUCCUGGGGUCUCGGGUUCGAUUCCCGGCGGUGCCC
rnacentral:tRNA from 1 species